ACGGGUUUAGCUCAGUUGGUAGAGCACUGGUCUCCAAAACCAGGUGUCGGGGGUUCGAGUCCCUCAAUCCGUG
rnacentral:tRNA from 7 species